GGAGAGCUGUCCGAGUGGCCGAAGGAGCACGGUUGGAAACCGUGUAGGCGAGUAACCUUGUCUCAAGGGUUCAAAUCCCUUGCUCUCCGCCA
rnacentral:tRNA from 1 species